GUGCUUGCUGAGGCAGCACGUACAGUAAUGUUAGAAUGAUACAGAGAAGACUAGCAUCUUGUGCAAAGAUGACACACACAUUCACGACACAUCCCAUUAAAAA
ensembl:snRNA U6 U6 spliceosomal RNA